UACGUACCGGACAAACGUUAUUCGGAAUUACUGGGCUUAAAGAGUGCGUAGGCGGCUUUGAAGGUGGGGUGUGAAAGCCCACGGCUUAACCGUGGAAUUGCGCUCCAAACCGCAAGGCUUGAGGAAGACAGAGGUGAGCGGAACUGAUGGUGGAGCGGUGAAAUGCGUUGAUAUCAUCAGGAACACCCGUGGCGAAGGCGGCUCACUGGGUCUUAUCUGACGCUGAGGCACGAAAGCUAGGGGAGCGAACGGG
rnacentral:rRNA from 1 species